rfam:Ruminiclostridium sp. KB18, complete genome.
AAUAUUAAGGCUGUCAGACCAAAGACAGCAGGUGCGCCCGGGGAUCGGGCGCUGAAACGGAGGUUUCCGGCCUGCCGAGGAAAGAUUGGCGUUUGAUUUUCGGCAUUUUUGUGCCCCUUAUCCAGCGUUUUAUGCCUUUCCGCGGCCUUUCCCCGGAAAGGCAUUUUUUAUUCUAUA